ensembl:misc_RNA
GUGCAUGCUGGGCUAUAAUUUAUGAAACGGAGCCCAGGAAACAACCAAUCAUUUAGCUCCUCCUAACAAGUCCAACUGGCUAUGAAAAGCUGGAAGUGCUGCUCAGAACAAUGAAGAGGAGCUAUCCCACAUAUUAAUCUGCUUAUCUGCUAUUGCUUUCUGUGUAGAGAGAGGGAAGCAUGUAACAAGGAGAGGAGAAAAAAAAAAAAAGAAAAGAAAGAAAAAUUACAGUUUCACUAC